rnacentral:rRNA from 1 species
AACGAACGCUGGCGGCAGGCCUAACACAUGCAAGUCGAGCGGACCUUUCGGGGUCAGCGGCGGACGGGUGAGUAACGCGUGGGAAUAUGCCCUUCUCUACGGAAUAGUCCUGGGAAACUGGGGGUAAUACCGUAUACGCCCCUUGGGGGAAAGAUUUAUCGGGGAAGGAUUAGCCCGCGUUGGAUUAGGUAGUUGGUGGGGUAAUGGCCUACCAAGCCGACGAUCCAUAGCUGGUUUGAGAGGAUGAUCAGCCACACUGGGACUGAGACACGGCCCAGACUCCUACGGGAGGCAGCAGUGGGGAAUCUUAGACAAUGGGGGCAACGCUGAUCUAGCCAUGCCGCGUGAGUGAUGAAGGCCUUAGGGUUGUAAAGCUCUUUCAGCUGGGAAGAUAAUGACGGUACCAGCAGAAGAAGCCCCGGCUAACUCCGUG